rnacentral:lncRNA from 1 species
GGAGGAGACACACUAGACUCUCCAACGGUUGGAAUGGGUAAGACUUCUGUAGCGUAAGGUGAAGGAGGAGCGAUAGUAAACUCGGGUGAGACUUCUGUUGCGGGAGGUGAAGAAGGAGCUAUAGUAGACUCCCUAAAGGCCGGUAUAGGUAAAACCUCAGUUAUAUCAAGAUGGUCAGAAGAGGUAAAGAAAGGUUUAGACUCAAAAAAUGUGACAUCAGCUGANNNNNNNAGGUAAAACCUCAGAUAUAUCAAGAUGGUCAGAAUGGUCAGAAGAGGUAAAGAAAGGUUUAGACUCAAAAAAUGUGACAUCGGCUGACAUAAGGUACCCACGAAGAUCAGGUGAAUAACAAUGAUAGCCCUUCUGAACACGAGAAUAACCAAGGAAGACACACUUGAGAGCACGAGGAACUAACUUAUCUUUCUCAGGGGCUAAGUUAUGAACGAAAUAAGUGCUCCCAAAUAACAAGAUGUGAGAACUGCAUCGCCCCAAAAACGCAUCGGAACAUGAGAUUCAAUGAGAAGUGUGCGAGCAGUCUCAAUAAUGUGCCUAUUCUUUCUCUCUGCAACCCCAUUUUGCUGAGGUCGCCCUAGAAACGCAGCGGAACAUGAGAUUCAAUGAGAAGUGUGCGAGCAGUCUCAAUAAUGUGCCUAUUUUUUCUCUCUGCAACCCCAUUUUGCUUAGGGGUAUAAGGACAAGAGGUUUGACGAAUAAUUCCUUGAGAAGUCAUAAACUGCUGAAAUUGAGAGGAAAAAUAUUCUAAGGAAUUAUCACUGCGAAAAGUGCGAAUAGAAACACCA